rnacentral:tRNA from 1 species
UUAAUAGAAGCUAAAAAGGAAGCUAUUCACUGUUAAUGAAUAAAAUGGGAUUCCCCUAUU